UGGACGACACUCAAUAAAAAAUCUCUUUUGGCCACUUUUGAACACAAAGGAGCGAAUGUGACUCUCCUGCACAGGAGCAGUAAACGGUUGUCGGUCAUUGACGAGUCGUCGUUCCUGUCGCACUCUGAUAUCAGCUACGAUCGGACCGAUGAUGACGUGGACGUGGACACAUCUGUGAUUAAACCGCUGAGAUCUCGAGCCAGAGAGAGGAGGAGAUCGUCGAUGGGUCUGACUGUCGGCGCUCCGGUUGGGAGGCGAGGGAGAGGCGGGAACGUCUCUGUAGAGCCGCUGGAGAGAAGAACUGUGGA